CGAUUUGUGAGCUCUUUUGCUUGUUUCGACGCCUAAACGGUGGUGGAUUGCAUGUGCAGUGUAAAAUGGAGUUCAACGAGCGCUUAAACAUCGAAAUAUCUCCAAUGGGAAGGAAAUGACGGCUAGAUUUCUUCGAAAUCGACGAAAUCUUCGCGAUUUGUGAGCUAUUUUGCUUGUUUCGACGCUUAAACGGUAGUCCAUUGCAUUAGCAGUGUAAAAUGGAGUUCAACGAGCGCUUAAACAUUGAAAUAUCUCCAACGGGAAGGAAAUGACGGCUAGAUUUCAUCGAAAUCGACGAAAUCUUCGCGAUUUGUGAGCUAUUUUGCUUGUUUCGUCGCCUAAACGGUGAUGCGUUACAUUUGCAUUGUAAAAUGGAGUUCAACUAGCGCUUGAACGUCGAAAUAUCUCCAACGGGAAGGAAAUGACGGCUAGAUUUCAUCGAAAUCGACGAAAUCUUCACGAUUUGUGAGCUAUUUUGCUUGUUUCGACGCUUAAACGGUAUGCAUUGCAUUUGCAGUGUAAAAUGGACUUCAACGAGCGCUUAAACGUCGAAAUAUCUCCAACGGGUAGGAAAUGACAGAUAGUUUUCGUCAAAAUCGGCGAAAUCUUCGCGAUUUGCGAGCAAUUUUGCUUGUUUCGAUGCUUAAACGGUAGUGCAUUGCAUUUGCAGUGUAAAAUGGAGUUCAACGAGCUCUCAAACGUCGAAAUAUCUACAACGAGAAGGAAAUGACGGCUAGAUUUCAUCAAAAUCCACGAAAUCUUCGCGGUUUGGGAGCUAUUUUGCGUGUUUCGAAGCUUAAACGGCAGUGCAUUGCAUUUGCAGUGUAAAAUGGAGUUCAGCGAGCGCUUAAACGUCGAAAUAUCUCCAACGGGUAGGAAUUGACAGUUAGUUUUCUUCAAAAUCGGCGAAAUUUUCGCGAUAUGCGAGCUAUUUUGCGUGUUUCGAAGCUUAAACGGUAGUGCAUUGCAUUUGCAGUGUAAAAUGGAGUUCAACGAGCGCUUAAAUGUCGAAAUAUCUCCAACGGGUAGGAAAUGACUGUUAGUUUUCGUCAAAAUCGGCGAAAUUUUCGCGAUAUGCGAGCUAUUUUGCAUGUUUCGACGCUUAAACGGUAGUGCAUUUCAUUUCCAGUGUAAAAUGGAGUUCAACGAGCGCCUAAACGUCGAAAUAUCUACGACGGGAAGGAAAUGACAGUUAGUUUUCGUCGAAAUCGACGAAAUCUUCGCGAUUUGCGAGCUAUUUUGCUUGUAUCGGCGCUUAAGCGGUAGUGCAUUGCAUUUGCAGUCUAAAAUGGAGUUCAACGAGAGCGCAAGCGUCGAAAUAUCUCCAACGGGAAGGAAAUGACAGUUAGUUUUCGUCAAAAUCGACGAAAUCCUCGCGAUUUAAGAUCUAUUUUGCUUGUUUCGACGCGUAAACGGUAGUGCAAUAAAUUUGCAGUGUAAAAUGGAGUUCAAUGAGCGCACAAGCGUCGAAAUAUCUCCAACGGGAAGGAAAUGACUGCUAGCUUUCAUCAAAAUGGACGAAAUCUCCGCGAUUUGCGAGCUAUUUUGCUUGUUUCGACGCUUAAACGGUAGUGCAUUGCAUUUGCAGUGUAAAAUGGAGUUCAACGAGCGCAUAUACGUCGAAAUAUCUCCACCGGGAAGGAAAUGACAGUUAGUUUCCGUCAAAAUCGACAAAAUCUUCGCGAUUUGCGAGCUAUUUUGCUUGUCUCGAC